rnacentral:tRNA from 1 species
GCCCAAGUGGCGGAACUGGCAGACGCGGUAGAUUCAGGGUCUAGUGCCGGCAACGGCGUGGAGGUUCGAAUCCUCUCUUGGGCA